GACGAACGCUGGCGGCGCGCCUAACACAUGCAAGUCGAACGAGCGAGAGAGAGCUUGCUUUCUCAAGCGAGUGGCGAACGGGUGAGUAACGCGUGAGGAACCUGCCUCAAAGAGGGGGACAACAGUUGGAAACGACUGCUAAUACCGCAUAAGCCCACAGGUCGGCAUCGACCAGAGGGAAAAGGAGCAAUCCGCUUUGAGAUGGCCUCGCGUCCGAUUAGCUAGUUGGUGAGGUAACGGCCCACCAAGGCAACGAUCGGUAGCCGGACUGAGAGGUUGAACGGCCACAUUGGGACUGAGACACGGCCCAGACUCCUACGGGAAGCAGCAGUGGGGAAUAUUGCACAAUGGGGGAAACCCUGAUGCAGCGACGCCGCGUGGAGGAAGAAGGUCUUCGGAUUGUAAACUCCUGUUGUGGAGGAAGAUAAUGACGGUACUCAACAAGGAAGUGACGGCUAACUACGUG
rnacentral:rRNA from 1 species